rnacentral:rRNA from 1 species
CCUACGGGAGGCAGCAGUGGGGAAUAUUGCACAAUGGGGGAAACCCUGAUGCAGCGACGCCGCGUGAGCGAUGCAGUAUUUCGGUAUGUAAAGCUCUAUCAGCAGGGAAGAAAAUGACGGUACCUGACUAAGAAGCCCCGGCUAACUACGUGCCAGCAGCCGCGGUCAUACGAAGGGGGCAAGCGUUAUCCGGAUGUCCUGGGUGGAAAGGGAGCGUAGACGGUCCUGCAAGCCAGAUGUGAAAGCCCGGGGCUCAACCCCGGGACUGCAUUUGGAACUGUAAGGCUAGAGUGUCGGAGAGGCAGGCGGAAUUCCUAGUGUAGCGGUGAAAUGCGUAGAUAUUAGGAGGAACACCAGUGGCGAAGGCGGCCUGUUGGACGAUGACUGACGUUGAGGCUCGAAAGCGUGGGGAGCAAACAGGAUUAGAUACCCGGGUAGUC